rnacentral:rRNA from 1 species
GGCUAUGGCCACAUCACUCUGAACAAGCCCGACCCUGUCUGAUCUCGGAAGCUAAGCAGGGUCGGGCCUGGUUAGUACUUGGUUGGGAGACCACCUAGGAAGACCAGGGGCUAUAGGCG